GGAAUCUUGCGCAAUGGACGAAAGUCUGACGCAGCGACGCCGCGUGCGGGAGGAAGCUCUUCGGGGUGUAAACCGCUGUUGCCCGGAACGAAACGCCAGAUUCGUCUGGCUUGACGGUACCGGGUGAGGAAGCGCCGGCUAACUCUGUGCCAGCAGCCGCGGUAAUACAGAGGGCGCGAGCGUUGUCCGGAAUCACUGGGCGUAAAGGGCGCGUAGGUGGCCACUAUAAGGCCGUGGUGAAAGUUCGGGGCUCAACCCUGAAUCUGCCGCGGCGACUGUAGGGCUAGGGCACCGUAGAGGCAGAUGGAAUUCCGGGUGUAGCGGUGGAAUGCGUAGAGAUCCGGAAGAACACCGGUGGCGAAGGCGGCAUCCUGGACCGACAUUGACGCUGAGGAGCGAAAGCUAGGGGAGCAAAC
rnacentral:rRNA from 1 species